rnacentral:lncRNA from 1 species
CCAGAAGGGUUUGCUUUAUCUCGGCAUGGGGGUCUCCGGCGGCGAGGAAGGCGCGCGUCAUGGUCCCUCUUUGAUGCCCGGUGGCUCCUUCGAGGCUUAUAAUAAUAUUCGAGAUAUUUUGCAAAAAGUUGCCGCCCAAGUUGAUGAUGGCCCUUGUGUUACUUACAUUGGUGAAGGCGGGUCUGGUAAUUUCGUUAAGAUGGUUCAUAACGGAAUUGAAUACGGAGACAUGCAGUUGAUUUCCGAAGCUUACGAUGUUUUGAAGCACGUGGGUGGAGUCAGCAAUGCCGAGUUAGCGGAGAUAUUUGAUGAGUGGAAUAAGGGCGAGUUGGAGAGUUUCUUGGUUGAGAUCACUGCUGAUAUUUUCAAGGUGAAGGAUGAAUAUGGUGAGGGUGAGCUUGUUGAUAAGAUUUUGGAUAAGACCGGAAUGAAAGGGACCGGCAAAUGGACCGUUCAGCAAGCUGCUGAGCUCUCAGUCGCUGCCCCAACCAUUGCUGCGUCGUUGGAUUGUAGGUACUUGAGCGGCUUGAAAGAGGAAAGAGAGAAAGCCGCCAAGGUCUUGAAAGAGGCGGGAUUGAAAGAUGAGGUUCAAAAUGUGGGAGUACAUGUUGACAAGAAGAGAUUGAUUGAUGAUGUGAGGCAAGCGCUGUAUGCUUCCAAGAUUUGUAGUUAUGCGCAAGGGAUGAAUCUGUUGAGGAGUAAGAGUAAUGAGAAAGGAUGGAAUUUGAAUUUUGGCGAAUUGGCGAGGAUUUGGAAAGGUGGGUGUAUUAUUAGAGCCGUUUUUUUGGAUAGGAUUAAGAAGGCUUAUCAGAGGAAUCCAAAUUUAGCUA